rnacentral:rRNA from 1 species
GAUGAACGCUGGCGGCGUGCCUAAUACAUGCAAGUCGAGCGAACGGACGAGAAGCUUGCUUCUCUGACGUUAGCGGCGGACGGGUGAGUAACACGUGGAUAACCUACCUAUAAGACUGGGAUAACUUCGGGAAACCGGAGCUAAUACCGGAUAAUAUUUUGAACCGCAUGGUUCAAAAGUGAAAGACGGUCUUGCUGUCACUUAUAGAUGGAUCCGCGCUGCAUUAGCUAGUUGGUAAGGUAACGGCUUACAAAGGCAACGAUGCAUAGCCGACCUGAGAGGGUGAUCGGCCACACUGGAACUGAGACACGGUCCAGACUCCUACGGGAGGCAGCAGUAGGGAAUCUUCCGCAAUGGGCGAAAGCCUGACGGAGCAACGCCGCGUGAGUGAUGAAGGUCUUCGGAUCGUAAAACUCUGUUAUUAGGGAAGAACAUAUGUGUAAGUAACUGUGCACAUCUUGACGGUACCUAAUCAGAAAGCCACGGCUAACUACGUG